GGUCCUGACAUGGUGAUUUGGGGCACGUCCCUUUCCAACUAAGACUCCAUUUCUCCCUGUGCCACAGAGAGGAAUCCUGCCUCAGACCUCAAAACACACCACACUUCUAACCCUGCAGGUCUUCAAAAGUACCAGAAAAUUUUGAUUGGAGCCUCUGUGGCCUUUGUCCUGCUGUUCUGCUUCCUCCUCUUCUUCCUCUUCCUCUUCAAGCACCAGAAGAAAUGCAGAAAGUCAGGUGUUUCAGACCUUGAAGUUAAGACCAGAGCACUAUAGAAAAGCUCCAGCUCCAUGGCUCCUGUUCAAGGGGAGAACCAGUGCAAUCAGAGAGGAGGUUCUUCCAUGAGAAAUUCCCAAUCUGAGGAAGAUGAAGUGAUGGACAGUAAGGAUACUCCAUCUGAAGACCCCCAGGAUGUGACCUAUGCCCAGCUGAACCGCAAGACCCUCAAACGAGCAGCAAGUGCACCCCGUUCACCCCCAUCAGAGGAGCCCCCAGAUGACCCCAGUGUGUACACUGCUCUGGCCGUCCACUAGCUAGCCCAGAAAGGACCCAGACCCCACACUUUAGAGAGGGGGCCUGCAGGGACCUCAGAUGGCAUAGGGGCUGUCCCCUUGGACGCUUAGCUACUGACCCCAAGUCUGAAGAUGUUCUGUAAGCAAGCAAGAUGCCACAAGACCUAGAAGUCACCUCGUUCUGCAGAGGAAGAUAACCAUGAACUCUGUAUUUUUAUUUUUUCUUUUUUUAAUAUAUUUUAUUGAUUAUGCUAUUACA